UGGGAGGUCGUUCAACGGUAGGACAGCAGACUCUGGAUCUGCUUAUCGGGGUUCGAAUCCCUGCCUCCCAGCCA
rnacentral:tRNA from 1 species